rnacentral:rRNA from 1 species
CAUGGCUCAGGAUGAACGCUGGCGGCGUGCCUAAUACAUGCAAGUAGAACGCUGAAGGAGGAGCUUGCUCUUCUGGAUGAGUUGCGAACGGGUGAGUAACGCGUAGGUAACCUGCCUGGUAGCGGGGGAUAACUAUUGGAAACGAUAGCUAAUACCGCAUAACAGUAGAUAUUGCAUGAUAUCUGCUUGAAAGGUGCAAAUGCAUCACUACCAGAUGGACCUGCGUUGUAUUAGCUAGUUGGUGAGGUAACGGCUCACCAAGGCGACGAUACAUAGCCGACCUGAGAGGGUGAUCGGCCACAUUGGGACUGAGACACGGCCCAAACUCCUACGG